rnacentral:rRNA from 1 species
GAUGAACGCUGGCGGCGUGCCUAAUACAUGCCAGUCGAGCGAACGGACGAGAAGCUUGCUUCUCUGAUGUUAGCGGCGGACGGGUGAGUAACACGUGGAUAACCUACCUAUAAGACUGGGAUAACUUCGGGAAACCGGAGCUAAUACCGGAUGAUAUUUUGAACCGCAUGGUUCAAAAGUGAAAGACGGUCUUGCUGUCACUUAUAGAUGGAUCCGCGCUGCAUUAGCUAGUUGGUAAGGUAACGGCUUACCAAGGCAACGAUGCAUGGCCGACCUGAGAGGGUGAUCGACCACACUGGAACUGAGACACGGUCCAGACUCCUACGGGAGGCAGCAGUAGGGAAUCUUCCGCAAUGGGCGAAAGCCUGACGGAGCAACGCCGCGUGAGUGAUGAAGGUCUUCGGAUCGUAAAACUCUGUUAUUAGGGAAGAACAUAUGUGUAAGUAACUGUGCACAUCUUGACGGUACCUAAUCAGAAAGCCACGGCUAACUACGUG